CGAACUCCGGUCAGCUGACACGUCCCGGCCAAUCUCCAGCAGACCCUCCCUCCCAGACCCUCCUACUUCCUGGACAGCAUCCAUGUUGAAGGGAGGGUCUGCUGGAGAUUGGCCGGGACGUGUCAGCUGACCGG